GUAGCCUAACAACAACAACAAGAGCAAAUGAAAUCGCAAAGUCUUUCAAAUGAAGAAAAAUAGCAAGUGACUUCCAAAAGGCACUUUACUUUGACUGUGUCAGGCUUUUUGGAAAUAAAGUUCCAGAAUUGGUAUUUGCAGGGUAUGUAUACGCUCAAAAGGUUUGGUUCAAAGCAACUCUGGUGCGAGCGCUCUGAUUAUGCGGCUCAUUUGAUUCAAUGCGAACGCUAUCGACUGGACGAAGUUGCUCACCAUAUGAUCAUAUAAUCAGGCCAAGUGUGAUUGCAUUCAAAAUUGCACUUGAGAGCAUGUUGGAUGAGAAGAACAGUGAUGCAUCAGCGCACACCUUCAAUCGAGUUCCUGAAGCUCUCGGAGGAGGUGGAGUAGUAAGGCGGUGUGUCAAAGGUGUUGAGCUGCAGACAGUCCAACACGUCCUGCGGCUCGGGCAGCCUCUGCACCAUGGGCCGCGCCACGUUGCCCGACGGGUUCCUCCUGAUGGGGCUGGUCUCUGUGUCUGCGAGUGGAGCACACAAGGUUGGAGUUAGUGCUUUCUAACGAGUACAGCACAAAAAGAAAAGGAUGACGACCAUCUAGCUGGAAGCAACGAUUGCAUUCAAGGAUUUUUAGCAGCUGCAGUUCAGAUCCAGGUCACUUGUCCCCACGGAAAUGGAGAGGAAGGGGAUGUGAUGAGUUAUGUUGUAUUAUUCAACAACUCUCUCAUUCAAUGUGGGAGACUCGACGAGUUUGAUCAUUCUUUAACAUGACAGCGUGGUAAUUGUUCACUAAAUUUCAACAACAGUGAGUGGGAGCGCUGUGAAGUCUCUUUACAAGGUGUCUGGGCUCACCCUUGGAGACCGAGCAAGGAGCUCGGUCAUUCGGAAGAGACUCCACGGCGAGAGCUGUUUCUAUUUUGGAUGCUUCCUGGACGCUGCGAUGGGGAAGAGUUCUGGGCAAGUCCCACUGGGAUGAGACCUCAGGGCAUUAUUAGGACACGCUCCAGGGACCUGAGUACGCCUCCGUGCCCUCACGGUGGAACUCGGGAGGAGGCCGGAGAUGAGAAAGUCUCCGGCAUUCCUGCUUAGUCUGCUGCUCCCACCACCCGGAUGAAAAGUUAGAGAAUGAUUUCUUUCUGGAAGUUUGGGUCCCGGGGAGAACUAACUUGGGAUUUGAGCUGAAAACUUUGGGAAACCCUGAUGUAGAAUAAUUUAACAAAUUGAAUUUCUGACAGACUGCAGCAAUUGUGAGCAAUUUCAAACACAGCACUGCAGCUAGGGGGUAUAUUUAUAGCAGCUUGUGUCGUACACGCUGGAUUUAUGAGGUGGAUGUCCUCAUUUUUCUUGCAUCACCGCAACUCCCUUACUGCAAAGGUAUCAGCAGCUCGAGCCAGCGACUGUUCCUUACUAUUGCAGA